UUCUGGCUCAGGAUGAACGCUGGCGGCGUGCCUAACACAUGCAAGUCGAACGGGGUUACUGGCAGCGGAGAUUCGGUCAAAGCAGCCUAUAACCGUAGGUGGCGGACGGGUGAGUAACGCGUGGGGAACCUGCCCUGUACUGGGGGGAUAACAGUGAGAAAUCACUGCUAAUACCGCAUAAGCGCACAGCAUCGCAUGAUGCAGUGUGAAAAACUGAGGUGGUACAGGAUGGCUCCGCGUUGGAUUAGCCAGUUGGCGGGGUAACGGCCCACCAAAGCGACGAUCCAUAGCCGGCCUGAGAGGGUGAACGGCCACAUUGGGACUGAGACACAGCCCAGACUCCUACGGGAGGCAGCAGUGGGGAAUAUUGCACAAUGGGGGAAACCCUGAUGCAAGCGACGCCGCGUGAAGGAAGAAGUAUCUCGGUAUGGUAAACUUCUAUCAGCAGGGAAGAUGAUGACGGUACCUGACUAAGAAGCCCCGGCUAACUACGUGCCAGCCGCGGC
rnacentral:rRNA from 1 species